GCAGUCGAGGGGUAAAGUCUUCGGACUUUGAGACCGGCGCACGGGUGCGUAACGCGUAUGCAAUCUGCCUUGUACAAAGGGAUAGCCCAGAGAAAUUUGGAUUAAUACCUUAUAGUAUAUAGAUGUGGCAUCACAUUUAUAUUAAAGAUUUAUCGGUACAAGAUGAGCAUGCGUCCCAUUAGCUAGUUGGUAUGGUAACGGCAUACCAAGGCAAUGAUGGGUAGGGGUCCUGAGAGGGAGAUCCCCCACACUGGUACUGAGACACGGACCAGACUCCUACGGGAGGCAGCAGUGAGGAAUAUUGGUCAAUGGGCGCAAGCCUGAACCAGCCAUGCCGCGUGCAGGAUGAAGCAUCUAUGGUGUGUAAACUGCUUUUGUACGGGAAGAAACAACUCUUCGUGAAGAGUCUUGACGGUACCGUAAGAAUAAGGAUCGGCUAACUCCGUGCCAGCAGCCGCGGUAAUACGGAGGAUCCAAGCGUUAUCCGGAAUCAUUGGGUUUAAAGGGUCCGUAAGCGGUUUUAUAAGUCAGUGGUGAAAUCCGGUAGCUCAACUAUCGAACGGCCAUUGAUACUGUAGAACUUGAAUUAUUGUGAAAUAACUAGAAUAUGUAGUGGAGCGGUGAAAU
rnacentral:rRNA from 1 species